UCUGGCCGCCUGCCCUCCCGUCGCGCAGCCCCCUGGGAGCCGCUGUCCGGCUGUGCUCACCAUCUGCAGAGGCUGGCCCAGGACCAGGCCGUGUAGACGCAGCACGUGUGGGUGCUCCAAGCUCAUCAUGACUGACACCUCUCGAAGGAAGUCCCCCAGCUCUGUGCCCAUGGGGCCUUCAGGACCCACCCGGAGGGACUUGACAGCCACGGGGACCUGGGGUGGGGGGCGCAAAGGAUGCUAUCUGGUACCCUAGGGAACAGCUAUGCAGGCCCAGGGCAGAAGCGGCAGGCAGAACAGGGGGGUAGCUGGCCCCAGCACCCGGGAUGAAGGAGGCCCCCCAGAUACUCACACUCUGGCCGCUGGGCAGUGUCCAUACCCCCCGGUUCACCACUCCAAAGCAGCCAGAGCCCAGCAGCUCCCCUCUGCACACAGCACUGUCUGGGAUCAGACACUUGAGCCCCCCUUCCUGCUCAGGGAGGGCUGGGAGGCUGUCUGAAGGUGGGAUGGUCUCCUUCUGCUCAGGUGUAAAUCCCCCAAGGAUCUGAAGCAGGGGUGGGAAAUUGAGUGUGUAGAACUCUGUGCACUCCUCCCUGAUACUCGGCCCACCCCAGUCUGGAGCCUGAGCUGGCCCUUUGAGUCCAUCGCCCCCACCCAAAAAUGCACACCUUGUACACCCAGUUCUUAGUCUUGAGUCCCGAACGGUGCCUCUUCAGAGCUUCGGCGAGUCUUCGCUGGGCUGGGGAAGGGCAGAACCAGGAGAGUGGGGUUACAUGGUGGGUGGUGAGGGAAAGUGGGGGGAUGCAGAAGGAUUUACAGGCAAGAAGAGGGCUGGUGUGGGGGGUACUUAGGAAGUACCAGGCUGAGGAAGAAGAGACCAGGGCUUGUGGGCAGGGGCCUCUCACCAGGCCGGCCCAUGCCAAUGCCAUCCAGGUCCUCGGGCCUGACAAAGUCGAAGUGCUCUGGCCGGGUAACAUUAAGCUCCUCGAGGAUGGGUCGGUAAAACUGGGCUAGCUGGAUGUCCCGAAGCAGCCGCAGCAGCCACAGUGAGCUCGCCUCAGGGAGCAUGUCUGCAGAAGGCUCCCUUGAAGGAUGAUGCAUAGCCCACGGUAAGCACUUGAGACCCCGAGACAACAGAAACACGGCCACCAGCUCCGCCCGCCACCUGUCAGAAACACUCAUGUACAGAGGGUGGGACACAUUGACAGCCAGGAAUCCUGCCACUCACACAAACCCCAGGAAAAUGCUCUCCGGACCUGAGACCUACAUGCUGUACCCACUGCACACCUGUGACUUUAGCACUCUGCAGACUUCGGUGUGUUCCUCUGCUAACUCUUGAUAUUUGAUGGCACACUGCUCCCAUACACCUAGACACCUGGGUACCGCAUACCUACCAGAGAUGCCCAGAUAUGCUAACCACACCAUACCUCAGCCCUGCAGACACACACGUAUACUGCCUCCCACACUGGAAACGCUGCUACACACACACACACACACACACUGAGACCUACAGACAUGCUGUGAAAGAUGUCUAAGACACCCAGAUACAUGGCCUUUCAAGUCUGAGACAUUCCAGAAUGCUGCCAUGAAACACCCAGGCUUACUGCCACACAACUGGUGCACUGCCUCCAAGAUACACUCCUCCCCAUGUCUGAGAUGUCAAGGUCCACAUGAAUGCACAGCACACGAGACAAGUGCACCCUGCGCACACGUGCCUGGACUACGCAGGCCUACUGCUCCUUAGCGCCACUGCCUAGGGUCAUUGCCUUUUCUAUACCUGAGACAGCAACGCUUGAAAUCACAUGGGGCAGCUGUGAUUGGUGGUUAGGUGCAGGCUGAGCCGGCUCCCAGCCUGUCUACAGAGCCAGGUGCUGUUAGGUGCACACUCCCUUCCACACCCACCUGAGCUCAGCUCCAGGUACCGGCCCCGCCGGCACACCUGACUCACUCGGUCUAACUUGGCUUCCUGGCAACUCCAAUCUUUGCUAACUAAGGCCCGGUGCCCCGGGUGCCAGCUGCCUGCGUGACGCUCUCCCUACGCACACCUGGACCCCUCCCCCUCCCCCCACUUUAGUUUAAUCAGGCGGAAGGGUUGAGCUCUGGCUUGGGCGCGGAAGGAGGAAGGCCAGGACGCAGGCCGACCCGGGACCGGGACCGCUUGCAAGUGUCUUCGCAGAUCAGGGUGCACUAGAGGUCCUCUCGGAGUUGAACACAUGAGUGUAGAGCCCAUGAGGAUAUAUGAAGGCAGAUGCAGCCAGAGAGGUUGGCAGAAGCCAGACCAAGGCAUCAAUUCAUUCUUCAGCAAGCUUUCACUGCCCCAGGUUCUGGGGACCCAGGCGAACAAGCAGACAUGAUCCUUGCUCCAGCUGGAUUCACUCUACAGGGCCUUGGAGAACAUAGUCAGGAGCGUGGACCCUACCUGAAGGCUCUGGUAACCAUGGAAAGAUUUUAGGAGAGGAGUGGCAGGACUAGCCUGCUGCAGUGACAAGCUGGGAAGAGGGAAGAGAGAAGGAGCAGGGAGCCCAGAGAAGAGGCUCUUCCUAUUGGUCCAGGAGAAGGAGGCUGGCCCUGCUUAGGCCUUGGCAACGGGAUGGAGAGGAGGUGAAGAUAGGGUGCAUUAUCAACUGGACUCUGGGCCGAGAUCCUCUAUGCUCCAGCAGGAAACCAAACACAGAGAUUUUCCAGCAGGAAACCGGACGCAGAGGCUCAGCCCCACCUUCGUCUUUAGCUUGGAAAAAAUCCAGGGAAUCAGAGUCCUCUUUAUCGCUCCCUUCCUCCCUAUUCAUUUCAUACUUCUGGAGUAAGGUGGGAGGAAGCACGGCCUGAGCACCCUUGGGGAGCACCCCUUCUAAGCUAAGAUAGGGCAUCCUGCUAACCUAGAGGCCGAGAUCGGGCACCAGUCCUACUCUGUCUGCCGUUCGCCAACCUCUACCUUGCCCUGAGGGCUCUGCAUCCAAGAAGGAUGAGCACAUUCAUACCACAGAGCCAAGUCUUUCCUCACAGGACAGGGAACCAGAAGGGUAAACAGAGAGGCCCCCUGGUAUCUUCCCCAUCUAUUGCCUUGGGUUUGGGUGGAGGGUUUCCCUCUGCAGAAAACUCUCCUCUCCUAUUGGGAGCCAGAUUAGUGCCCCCUUAGGUCCUCCUUUCCUGUUCCAGUCCCUGAGAUCAUGGGGCUUUCCCCUGCCAUCUUGCCUAUGCCAACCUCUCAACAGGGGAAAGUACCUCUCUCCCUCUGGGCCUUCCUGUGGCUGUUCCCAUUGCUUGGAAUUCCUCCCACCUUUAUCCCAACCUGGCUAAGUGCAGGAAGCCUCUCCCUCCCUGGUCAGGCCCAUUCCCCUGAACCCCAAGAUCCCUGUGCUUUCCCGUUAUUGCACUCAUUGCUCUUGUAGAAAUUGCCAGUAACUCAUCUGUCUCCCCUGCUAGAUUCCAAGCUCCAGGCAGAAAAAUACUUUAUCUUGCCUGGGUAUUGCUGUGUCCAUUCUGCCCAGUCUAGUCUAGUGUCUAGCUCAUGUGAUAAGUGCUCAGUAACUUUUGAUGAACAUAUAGGUGAGACUGCAUCAUGUGGGCUGGGUGAAGCCAAUGAGAUUUUUUGACAUCAGUAGCUCCUUUGCUGGGAGUGAUGUGGAUGGGAGUGCCCGAACCUCACCAUAAGCAUUCUCUGGCGAACCCAUCCUUACGCCUCUCCCUGUUUGGCCCCACAUGGUUGGCUCUUUAUAGACCUUUGGGUGAAAUCCUCCUGUCCCAUCACCCUAUGCCCACCCCCCAUCUCGUGGGGUCCCAUCCUUUCCCAGUUUGGAUUUGCCUCGCUAGUUUUUAGAGUCACCAGCCCACCAUCCUGUAUGUAUCUGUUGGUUUGCUUUCCGAAGCGGAAGCACUCCUAAAUCCACUCUAUUCCUUCAGGCUCACAAAGGAGCCAAGAGCCUUUACAGUGUGGUAGUUUAGACCACACCUUGGGAGGCCAACUGCCUGAGCUGGGACCCCUGUUCAUCACUUAGCAUCCUGUGAAUCUGAGCAAGUUAUUUCCCAUUUCUGUGCCUCUGUUUCCUCCUUUUCAAGAUGCCUCUAUUAGGAGUAUUUACCUUCACUGUCAUUGGAGAACUAACUAUGUCCACGAGUGUGGUAGCCAAAGCGGAGGCCAGUGAGUCCCUCGCUUGAUAGCCUGGCAUUAACACCUAUGAAUUAACAGCCCUGGUGAAGAGGACUGAUCUGGGUAAUCAGAGGGAUAUUGCAGAAAAGAUGGUGACUUCCGAGCAAGCUCAUACACGACAAUGUGGCUCCUGCCUUCCCCCCUCAAACUCCUCACUCUGGGGAAGCCCAGCCACCAAGCCAUGAGGACACUCAAGGAGUUCUAUGAAGAGGCUCCACAUGCCAAGGGACUGAAGCCUCUUGCUAACAGCCAACACCACCCUGCCAGCCAUGUGAGUAAGCCAUCUUGAAAGAUGAUCCUCCAGCCCUGGUCCAACCUUAGAUUUUUGCAACCCUGAGACAUCUGAGUGGCGCCCCUGUGGGAAACUGUGAGCCAGAACCACCCCAUUACUGCUCCUCAAUUUUGAUCUACAGAAACUAUGAGAUGUGUUUUGUAGGCAAUUAAGCCUUGGAAUAAUUUGAUGCACAGCUGUAGCUAACUGAUAUGGUACAUGAGAUGCUUGGAAA